GGGGGCGUCAGGUUUCGACGGGUAUGUAAAAAGUACGAUCGCAUGUGGAGGAUUUCUGGUCACCUCCUAAAAUAUCCAGGAAAAACAAUAAAUGCCGAUAACGGCUACUUAGCUGCCGCUUAACUGACAGCAGCCAUCUUAUCAUGAAUCUGCCUGUGGUUUAUGAAUAAGGUGUCAUCUUUAGCAGGCUGGUUUGGAUCUUUGUCUGUGAGAUUCAAAUGAGAUAUUUCAGACUGGCUUAUCGGGCAGUUGAUCAUUUCUAAACGAUAAGUAAGACACUCUAAAUGAUCUAAACAUGUAGAAGUCUUGCUGGAGUAUAUUCGGACGGCGGUUCAAUUCCGCCCGCCUCCACAC
rnacentral:tmRNA from 1 species